rnacentral:rRNA from 1 species
GUCCACGCCCUAAACGAUGAAUACUUGGUGUUGGCCUUUUUGGUCAGUGCCGAAGGUAACCUGAUAAGUAUUCCACCUGGGGAGUACGCUCGCAAGGGUGAAACUCAAAGGAAUUGACGGGGGCCCGCACAAGCGGUGGAGCAUGUGGUUUAAUUCGAUGCAACGCGAAGAACCUUACCUAGGCUUGAACAGCUAGUGGUAGAACCCUGAAAGGGGAACGACCCGCAAGGGAGCUAGUAGAGGUGCUGCAUGGCUGUCGU